AUGAACGCUAGCUACAGGCUUAACACAUGCAAGUCGAGGGGCAGCAUGGUCUUAGCUUGCUAAGGCCGAUGGCGACCGGCGCACGGGUGAGUAACACGUAUCCAACCUGCCGUCUACUCUUGGACAGCCUUCUGAAAGGAAGAUUAAUACAAGAUGGCAUCAUGAGUCCGCAUGUUCACAUGAUUAAAGGUAUUCCGGUAGACGAUGGGGAUGCGUUCCAUUAGAUAGUAGGCGGGGUAACGGCCCACCUAGUCUUCGAUGGAUAGGGGUUCUGAGAGGAAGGUCCCCCACAUUGGAACUGAGACACGGUCCAAACUCCUACGGGAGGCAGCAGUGAGGAAUAUUGGUCAAUGGGCGAGAGCCUGAACCAGCCAAGUAGCGUGCAGGAUGACGGCCCUAUGGGUUGUAAACUGCUUUUAUAAGGGAAUAAAGUGAGUCUCGUGAGACUUUUUGCAUGUACCUUAUGAAUAAGGACCGGCUAAUUCCGUG
rnacentral:rRNA from 1 species